rnacentral:rRNA from 1 species
GACGAACGCUGGCGGCGUGCUUAACACAUGCAAGUCGAACGGUAAGGCCCUUCGGGGUACACGAGUGGCGAACGGGUGAGUAACACGUGGGUGAUCUGCCCUGCACUUCGGGAUAAGCCUGGGAAACUGGGUCUAAUACCGGAUAGGACCACUGCUUGCAGGGGUGGUGGUGGAAAGCUUUUGCGGUGUGGGAUGGGCCCGCGGCCUUUCAGCUUGUUGGUGGGGUGAUGGCCUACCAAGGCGACGACGGGUAGCCGGCCUGAGAGGGUGACCGGCCACACUGGGACUGAGAUACGGCCCAGACUCCUACGGGAGGCAGCCGUGGGGAAUAUUGCACAAUGGGCGCAAGCCUGAUGCAGCGACGCCGCGUGAGGGAUGACGGCCUUCGGGUUGUAAACCUCUUUCAGCACCGACGAAGCGCAAGUGACGGUAGGUGCAGAAGAAGGACCGGCCAACUACGUGCCAGCCGCCGCAGUAACAC